AGAGUUUGAUCCUGGCUCANAUUGAACGCUGGCGGCAUGCCUUACACAUGCAAGUCGAACGGCAGCACGGGGGCAACCCUGGUGGCGAGUGGCGAACGGGUGAGUAAUGCAUCGGAACGUGUCCUCUUGUGGGGGAUAACCAGUCGAAAGACUGGCUAAUACCGCAUGAGAUCGAAAGAUGAAAGCGGGGGACCGCAAGGCCUCGCGCGAGAGGAGCGGCCGAUGCCGGAUUAGCUAGUUGGUGGGGUAAAAGCCUACCAAGGCGACGAUCCGUAGCUGGUCUGAGAGGACGACCAGCCACACUGGGACUGAGACACGGCCCAGACUCCUACGGGAGGCAGCAGUGGGGAAUUUUGGACAAUGGGCGCAAGCCUGAUCCAGCCAUGCCGCGUGUGUGAAGAAGGCCUUCGGGUUGUAAAGCACUUUCGGACGGAACGAAAUCGCGCGGUUGAACAUUCCGCGUGGAUGACGGUACCGUAAGAAGAAGCACCGGCUAACUACGUGCCAGCAGCCGCGGUAAUAC
rnacentral:rRNA from 1 species